AGCGUAGACGGCAUGGCAAGCCAGAUGUGAAAGCCCGGGGCUCAACCCCGGGACUGCAUUUGGAACUGUCAGGCUAGAGUGUCGGAGAGGAAAGCGGAAUUCCUAGUGUAGCGGUGAAAUGCGUAGAUAUUAGGAGGAACACCAGUGGCGAAGGCGGCUUUCUGGACGAUGACCGACGUUGAGGCUCGAAAGCGUGGGGAGCAAACA
rnacentral:rRNA from 1 species